rnacentral:lncRNA from 1 species
ACAUGUCGUAUAUAACACAAGUAUUGCACUAGAUAGAUCAGUUGGCAGGAAACAUCUGCGCAAAGUAGUUAGCUGCUUACUUUGUUAGCGACAACUUGAAGAUACCAUGAGAGUUUUGGGUCGAUGAGGUUGGUAAUUCACCUCACAACCCACACGAUAGAAGAAUAGCAACAGGCUCGCCCUCUAUUACAUAUGUCCAUGAGUGGACGGGAUGCCAUAGAGGCGCGAUCAUCAGUUGAUAUUCGCCGUGAUCGCCCUGCUGUGUGGAGCAUCAUCAGCUAUCGACCCGAAGCGACAGCUGAUCAACCGGCCCACUCGUGACAUGAUCUUCAGGGGAGUCAGAUCAGUGAACAAUGAUGCUAUUGCUGCCUUGCAAACUUGGAAUGACUCUAAAAAAUUCAGAAACAGUGAAGAACUGAAGACAACCGGACAACUUAGAUAACUAAAAUAAACUAAAAUGAGGCAGACCAGAACAACGUUCCCUAAUAAUAACGUAGAUGACGUUGUCUAACGCUACCUUCGUUUAUUCUUUUAAUUUCAUAGAAUUCACACACGUGCAUCUUUCAAUUUAUUCAGAAAUAAUAAUAAUAAAAAACAGAAUUUAAAUCCACCACAGGCUUC